CCCACCUUCACAGGAACUGAGAGAGAAGUUUGUAGCUUUCUAGCAAUGAAGUUAUACAUUGGUGUGUGGGCGUGUCUAGUCUGUUUGGAGGUAGUAGUGUCAGCUCCUCAAAUAGGUAACUAUGCCUGUUUAGAUAAACAGAUCGGUGACGAGAAUUGUUCGUUCUACAGAAGACUGUAUGACGUCACUGAGGCUGAGCUCUUCUGUUCGCACUGGGGUCGCCAUUGUUGUCUCUCCUGCUUGGAGAUGAAAAUGGAACUGGAAAGGGGGCUAAAGUAGCAUAGGAUUUUAUAUCAGGGGACGUUGUAUAAUAGAAUAUUACAAAGUACCCUGGCAGAAAUGUUUCAUAUUCUGUUUUGUAAGACUGAAUUGGACUAUAUACAUGUAUCCAUGAUCUGCAUUAUUCCUGUUGGUGUCAUUUGAAAAGUUACGCAAUAUCAUGUAAAUAUAAAAUACAUUUAUUGCUGUAAUUAAUAACUAUAACCUGCAAAUUUAUCUCUUACUGUAUUAUUAGAUUUUUUUUUAAAUUUUCCUAUUUCAAUAAAUACGUGUGAAUGGUGAUGGCUGAGAGCUCUUUACAUGAAUUGCAAAUAAUUAUAAUCAUCUUUAUUUUAUUGGAGAACUUAUAAAUACGAGAAAAUUAUCUCGUGAUUUCGAGAAUAAAUUUCGUAAUUACGAGA